UACGUAUGGGGCAAGCGUUAUCCGGAAUUAUUGGGCGUAAAGAGUGCGUAGGUGGUUACCUAAGCGCAAGGUUUAAUCUUGAGGCUCAACCUCAUUCUGCCUUGCGAACUGGGCUACUUGAGUGCAGGAGGGGAAAGCGGAAUUCCCAGUGUAGCGGUGAAAUGCGUAGAUAUUGGGAAGAACACCGGUGGCGAAGGCGGCUUUCUGGACUGUAACUGACACUGAGGCACGAAAGCAUGGGGAGCAAACAGGAUUAGAUACCCUGGUAGU
rnacentral:rRNA from 1 species